rnacentral:rRNA from 1 species
UGAGGAAUAUUGGUCAAUGGGCGGGAGCCUGAACCAGCCAAGCCGCGUGAGGGAUGAAGGCCCUAUGGGUCGUAAACCUCUUUUGUCAGGGAACAAAAGCGAGUAUGUAUACUAGUCUGAGUGUACCUGAAGAAAAACGCAUCGGCUAACUCCGUGCCAGCAGCCGCGGUAAUACGGAGAAUGCGAGCGUUAUCCGGAUUUAUUGGGUUUAAAGGGUGCGUAGGCGGCGAUGCAAGUCAGCGGUAAAAGCCCGGGGCUCAACCCCGGCGAGCCGUUGAAACUGCAGUGCUAGAGAAGGCGAGAGGUACGCGGAAUGCGCAGUGUAGCGGUGAAAUGCUUAGAUAUUGCGCAGAACUCCGAUUGCGAAGGCAGCGUACUGGCGCCUGACUGACGCUGAGGCACGAAAGCGUGGGGAUCGAACAGGAUUAGAUACC